rnacentral:rRNA from 1 species
ACGAACGCUGGCGGCGUGCUUAACACAUGCAAGUCGAACGGAAAGGCCCUGCUUUUGUGGGGUGCUCGAGUGGCGAACGGGUGAGUAACACGUGAGUAACCUGCCCUUGACUUUGGGAUAACUUCAGGAAACUGGGGCUAAUACCGGAUAGGAGUUCCUGCUGCAGGGUGGGGGUUGGAAAGUUUCGGCGGUUGGGGUUGGACUGGGGGCUUAUCGGCUUGUUGGUGGGGUAGUGGCUUACCAAGGCUUUGACGGGUAGCCGGCCUGAGAGGGUGACCGGCCACAUUGGGACUGAGAUACGGCCCAGACUCCUACGGGAGGCAGCAGUGGGGAAUAUUGCACAAUGGGCGGAAGCCUGAUGCAGCAACGCCGCGUGCGGGAUGACGGCCUUCGGGUUGUAAACCGCUUUCGCCUGUGACGAAGCGUGAGUGACGGUAAUGGGUAAAGAAGCACCGGCUAACUACGUG